GCUUCCAAUGCCGCUUCACUACCCCCUCUCAGCCGUCAAUCUCCACCGUUCGUGGGUUCCGGCCGGCCAGAUCCAGCGGUCAGACACGCUGCCAGUCGCCCAGCUCUUCAGCCGUGCCUUCCUUGCCAUCUUCACAGUUGUCUGAUCGCCGUGCCUUCCUCACUCCUUCCCUUCGCCGCAUGAGUCACCGGAUCUGUGCGUCACCGUCGCUCCCACUUUGACUUGCCCACUGUGCCGAUUUUGCCCAGGUCCGAGACCAGCCACCGGAUUUGCACGUUCGCCGUCCGUUGCCGCUCUAGUCUCUAGCUGCAGCGCCUCCUAGCCCUCUGUUCGUUGUCCGCCACUAUCGUCAUCUUUGGGUUCGCCAGAUCUGGCAGUUUUAGAUUUGAAUCGAGGAAACUGUUGGAGGGGCUGUCCAGUGGGUUCGAGAUCGUUCGACAAGAGUUUUGGUUCCGAGUUGUCGUCCAUUGGGAGUUAAAAUCUGUUGAAAGGAGAUUUGGAGUGGUUGUUAAUCGAGUUCCUUGGGGUCGUUUCUUCAAACCGCGGUCAUCGUUUGGUUGUCUGAGUUUAUCUGUGGAAUUUCGAUUAAGGUAAGUAAUCUUACCACUGGAACUGCCCAUGGGCCAGGCUUUAUUUGUAUGCUAGCAUGAUGAGUGUAUGUUAUGGUAAAUGUUAGCAUGUUGCCUGAUAGUAUG